ensembl:misc_RNA predicted gene, 27741
CUUACCAUGCACUAAGCAAGCAGCCAGAGACGCCAACCCCAGACCGAUGGGUUUACACGCAGAGGGAUAAGGAAUGAUGGGGGGGGGCACGCUUGGCGGAUCCGGACCUCGCUGAGGCCCCAGAGCACUAACAGGUGGGGCCUCGGAAUGCGGCUUUGGAGGGUGGGGUUAGAGAAAGAUCCCUGGAAGGAUCUAAGCUGAGACAUUGCUAUUUUCAAUUUUUACUCAAUUCCUAAAAUAUCAAAGU